rnacentral:rRNA from 1 species
AUUGAACGCUGGCGGCAGGCCUAACACAUGCAAGUCGAGCGGGGUUUUCGGACCUAGCGGCGGACGGGUGAGUAAUGCGUAGGAAGCUACCCGAUAGAGGGGGAUACCAGUUGGAAACGACUGUUAAUACCGCAUAAUGUCUACGGACCAAAGUGUGGGACCUUCGGGCCACAUGCUAUCGGAUGCGCCUACGUGGGAUUAGCUAGUUGGUGAGGUAAUGGCUCACCAAGGCGACGAUCCCUAGCUGGUUUGAGAGGAUGAUCAGCCACACUGGAACUGAGACACGGUCCAGACUCCUACGGGAGGCAGCAGUGGGGAAUAUUGGACAAUGGGCGCAAGCCUGAUUCAGCCAUGCCGCGUGUGUGAAGAAGGUCUUCGGAUUGUAAAGCACUUUAAGUUGGGAGGAAGGGCAGUAAGUUAAUACCUUGCUGCUUUGACGUUACCGACAGAACAAACACCGGCUAACUCUGUGCCAGCCGCCGCCAUAAGAC